GGGGAGGCAUAAGCCAAAUAAACCCUUUCCCUCCGACUUGCCUUUGGUCAUGAAAUAAGCACCACCCACCUGACUGUUUGGAUAAUUAGUCUCCAUCUGUUGGGAAACACCGUAUAAAACCAACCAGGAUAUACAGAGCUAAGAAGCAUUUUCCAGAAUUCUGCUUGGGCUCAAUUCUUUGAUAAAUUCACAAAAGGCAGAUGGCUGGAAAAAUGACAGCUCCUCUUCAACAGCUGGCCCUGAGCAUCGACUUAGAC